UAACUGAUUCCAGGGGACUCCAUUGCCCUAU
rnacentral:piRNA from 1 species